UGGGGAAUAUUGCACAAUGGGCGCAAGCCUGAUGCAGCCAUGCCGCGUGUGUGAAGAAGGCCUUCGGGUUGUAAAGCACUUUCAGCGGGGAGGAAGGCGAUAAGGUUAAUAACCUCAUCGAUUGACGUUACCCGCAGAAGAAGCACCGGCUAACUCCGUGCCAGCAGCCGCGGUAAUACGGAGGGUGCAAGCGUUAAUCGGAAUUACUGGGCGUAAAGCGCACGCAGGCGGUCUGUCAAGUCGGAUGUGAAAUCCCCGGGCUCAACCUGGGAACUGCAUUCGAAACUGGCAGGCUAGAGUCUUGUAGAGGGGGGUAGAAAUCCAGGUGUAGCGGUGAAAUGCGUAGAGGUCUGGAGGAAUACCGGUGGCGAAGGCGGCCCCCUGGACAAAGACUGACGCUCAGGUGCGAAAGCGUGGGGAGCAAACAGG
rnacentral:rRNA from 1 species